rnacentral:rRNA from 1 species
UGGGGAAUAUUGCACAAUGGGCGAAAGCCUGAUGCAGCAACGCCGCGUGAGUGAUGAAGGUCUUCGGAUUGUAAAGCUCUGUCUUUUGGGACGAUAAUGACGGUACCAAAGGAGGAAGCCACGGCUAACUACGUGCCAGCAGCCGCGGUAAUACGUAGGUGGCGAGCGUUGUCCGGAUUUACUGGGCGUAAAGGGUGCGUAGGCGGAUGUUUAAGUGAGAUGUGAAAUACCCGGGCUUAACUUGGGUGCUGCAUUUCAAACUGGAUAUCUAGAGUGCAGGAGAGGAGAAUGGAAUUCCUAGUGUAGCGGUGAAAUGCGUAGAGAUUAGGAAGAACACCAGUGGCGAAGGCGAUUCUCUGGACUGUAACUGACGCUGAGGCACGAA